UUGACCUACGGGGCGCAGCAGUAGGGAAUCUUCCACAAUGGGCGAAAGCCUGAUGGAGCAACGCCGCGUGGGUGAAGAAGGUCUUCGGAUCGUAAAACCCUGUUGUUAGAGAAGAAAGUGCGUGAGAGUAACUGUUCACGUUUCGACGGUAUCUAACCAGAAAGCCACGGCUAACUACGUGCCAGCAGCCGCGGUAAUACGUAGGUGGCAAGCGUUAUCCGGAAUUAUUGGGUGUAAAGGGUGCGUAGACGGAAGAACAAGUUGGUUGUGAAAUCCCUCGGCUCAACUGAGGAACUGCAACCAAA
rnacentral:rRNA from 1 species